rnacentral:rRNA from 1 species
UACGUAGGGUGCAAGCGUUUAUCCGGAAUUAUUGGGCGUAAAGAGCUCGUAGGCGGUUUGUCGCGUCUGCUGUGAAAACUGGAGGCUCAACCUCCAGCCUGCAGUGGGUACGGGCAGACUAGAGUGCGGUAGGGGAGAUUGGAAUUCCUGGGUGUAGCGGUGGAAUGCGCAGAUAUCAGGAGGAACACCGAUGGCGAAGGCAGAUCUCUGGGCCGUAACUGGACGCUGAGGAGCGAAAGCAUGGGGAGCGAACAGG